AGCGCAUACGGUGGAUGCCUUGGCAGUCAGAGGCGAUGAAAGACGUGGUAGCCUGCGAAAAGCUUCGGGGAGUCGGCAAACAGACUGUGAUCCGGAGAUGUCUGAAUGGGGGAACCCAGCCAUCAUAAGAUGGUUAUCUUGUACUGAAUACAUAGGUGCAAGAGGCGAACCAGGGGAACUGAAACAUCUAAGUACCCUGAGGAAAAGAAAUCAACCGAGAUUCCCUUAGUAGUGGCGAGCGAACGGGGACCAGCCCUUAAGUUGUAUUGAGAUUAGCGGAACACUCUGGAAAGGGUGGCCAUAGUGGGUGAUAGCCCUGUACGCGAAAAUCCCUUUGCAAUGAAAUCGAGUAGGACGGGGCACGAGAAACCUUGUCUGAAUAUGGGGGGACCAUCCUCCAAGGCUAAAUACUACUGACUGACCGAUAGUGAACCAGUACCGUGAGGGAAAGGCGAAAAGAACCGCGGAGAGCGGAGUGAAAUAGAUCCUGAAACCGUAUGCGUACAAGCAGUGGGAGCCCACUUUGUUGGGUGACUGCGUACCUUUUGUAUAAUGGGUCAGCGACUUAUUUUCAGUGGCGAGCUUAACCGAAUAGGGGAGGCGUAGCGAAAGCGAGUCUUAAUAGGGCGUCUAGUCGCUGGGAAUAGACCCGAAACCGGGCGAUCUAUCCAUGGGCAGGUUGAAGGUUGGGUAACACUAACUGGAGGACCGAACCGACUACCGUUGAAAAGUUAGCGGAUGACCUGUGGAUCGGAGUGAAAGGCUAAUCAAGCUCGGAGAUAGCUGGUUCUCCUCGAAAGCUAUUUAGGUAGCGCCUCAUGUAUCACUGUAGGGGGUAGAGCACUGUUUCGGCUAGGGGGUCAUCCCGACUUACCAAACCGAUGCAAACUCCGAAUACCUACAAGUGCCGAGCAUGGGAGACACACGGCGGGUGCUAACGUCCGUCGUGAAAAGGGAAACAACCCAGACCGUCAGCUAAGGUCCCAAAGUCAUGGUUAAGUGGGAAACGAUGUGGGAAGGCUUAGACAGCUAGGAGGUUGGCUUAGAAGCAGCCACCCUUUAAAGAAAGCGUAAUAGCUCACUAGUCGAGUCGGCCUGCGCGGAAGAUGUAACGGGGCUCAAACCAUGCACCGAAGCUACGGGUAUCAUCUUAUGAUGAUGCGGUAGAGGAGCGUUCUGUAAGCCUGUGAAGGUGAGUUGAGAAGCUUGCUGGAGGUAUCAGAAGUGCGAAUGCUGACAUGAGUAACGACAAUGGGUGUGAAAAACACCCACGCCGAAAGACCAAGGUUUCCUGCGCAACGUUAAUCGACGCAGGGUUAGUCGGUCCCUAAGGCGAGGCUGAAAAGCGUAGUCGAUGGAAAACAGGUUAAUAUUCCUGUACUUCUGGUUAUUGCGAUGGAGGGACGGAGAAGGCUAGGCCAGCCUGGCGUUGGUUGUCCAGGUUUAAGGUGGUAGGCUGAGAUCUUAGGUAAAUCCGGGAUCUUAAGGCCGAGAGCUGAUGACGAGUGUUCUUUUAGAACACGAAGUGGUUGAUGCCAUGCUUCCAAGAAAAGCUUCUAAGCUUCAGGUAACCAGGAACCGUACCCCAAACCGACACAGGUGGUUGGGUAGAGAAUACCAAGGCGCUUGAGAGAACUCGGGUGAAGGAACUAGGCAAAAUGGCACCGUAACUUCGGGAGAAGGUGCGCCGGUGGAGGUGAAGCAUUUACUGCGUAAGCCCCUGCCGGUCGAAGAUACCAGGCCGCUGCGACUGUUUAUUAAAAACACAGCACUCUGCAAACACGAAAGUGGACGUAUAGGGUGUGACGCCUGCCCGGUGCCGGAAGGUUAAUUGAUGGGGUUAGCGCAAGCGAAGCUCUUGAUCGAAGCCCCGGUAAACGGCGGCCGUAACUAUAACGGUCCUAAGGUAGCGAAAUUCCUUGUCGGGUAAGUUCCGACCUGCACGAAUGGCGUAACGAUGGCGGCGCUGUCUCCACCCGAGACUCAGUGAAAUUGAAAUCGCUGUGAAGAUGCAGUGUAUCCGCGGCUAGACGGAAAGACCCCGUGAACCUUUACUAUAGCUUUGCACUGGACUUUGAAUUUGCUUGUGUAGGAUAGGUGGGAGGCUUUGAAGCGUGGACGCCAGUCUGCGUGGAGCCAACCUUGAAAUACCACCCUGGCAACUUUGAGGUUCUAACUCAGGUCCGUUAUCCGGAUCGAGGACAGUGUAUGGUGGGUAGUUUGACUGGGGCGGUCUCCUCCUAAAGAGUAACGGAGGAGUACGAAGGUGCGCUCAGACCGGUCGGAAAUCGGUCGUAGAGUAUAAAGGCAAAAGCGCGCUUGACUGCGAGACAGACACGUCGAGCAGGUACGAAAGUAGGUCUUAGUGAUCCGGUGGUUCUGUAUGGAAGGGCCAUCGCUCAACGGAUAAAAGGUACUCCGGGGAUAACAGGCUGAUACCGCCCAAGAGUUCAUAUCGACGGCGGUGUUUGGCACCUCGAUGUCGGCUCAUCACAUCCUGGGGCUGAAGCCGGUCCCAAGGGUAUGGCUGUUCGCCAUUUAAAGUGGUACGCGAGCUGGGUUUAGAACGUCGUGAGACAGUUCGGUCCCUAUCUGCCGUGGACGUUUGAGAUUUGAGAGGGGCUGCUCCUAGUACGAGAGGACCGGAGUGGACGAACCUCUGGUGUUCCGGUUGUCACGCCAGUGGCAUUGCCGGGUAGCUAUGUUCGGAAAAGAUAACCGCUGAAAGCAUCUAAGCGGGAAACUUGCCUCAAGAUGAGAUCUCACUGGAACCUUGA
rnacentral:rRNA from 3 species